UGGUAGCCUUCUUGGUUAUCAGAUCACCUGUUGCAGUAUCACAGGGCUUGUGUGCAAGUAACUUCUUUUACUGAAUGGUGACUUCAAAGCACAAGAAUAGCGGUGUUGGAAAUUCAUAUACGCCGAAGGGAAGGUGUGAAGUGCUUACUUCAAGUGAAAAGGUGAAAGUAUGUACGAGACCUCAAUCAAACCUGACAACAUCUUAUUGGACUCCCAAGGAAAUACAAGAUCACUGACUUUGGCUUGGAAAAGAAGUUCGUUCCCAGGUAGAAUGUGACCUUGUGUGGCUGCACAGCAAGGUAUGCUGGCCCCAAAUGAUCUCAGCACUAUCCUGUUCGAGUUAGUUGUGCACCACACCCCUUUCUACAGGAAGGGCUGGCUUCUAGUGCAGAACCAGUCAGGCAGAUACUCCUGUCCUCCCUCCCUCCCUCCUCACCUACAAAUCAUCAUUUGAAAGCUUCUCACCCACAACUCCACAAAGCAGCCAACACUAAAGCAAGUUUUGCAGUACUCAUGGCUCUGCUUAAACAUACCUUCUCCUAAUCCUCCUCCUGAGCCUCUUCCCAAGCAAGCACAGGAAGACUGCAAUCCUGGUCGACUAGGACUGACCCACUAAAAAUCAUAGAAUCAUAGAAAUCCUGAGGGUCAGGAAGUAGGAGCACCAGGCCAUGUUUUUUGCUCCUGGAACAAGGCAGUUAAGCUGAAAAUUCAGGGUACACCGGAGAAUAAGGAAGUGGUGCCAUCAUCUGCCCCAGAUCCUGCACCCUCACCUCUCCGAAGAAGGCCAGUGAGCCUGCCAUUUGCUUCCUGUAUUGACCUCUUCCUCCCUGGGGUGAAGCCCCUAGGACUGCAGGGUGGCAGAGGCUUCCUGUCUUCCAUUUAUUAUCUGCAGGAACCCCCACCCCCACCCCACGGCCUGCCUGGCCAGCCCUGAAGCAUCUGCUCCAGCUUCAGUACCACCUUAUUAUCCCCUGCCUGCAAUGGAUGGCAGAUCUGGAAGGUGGUGAAGAGGAAGACCACAGCCUGCCUGCUGCUCCUGCCUGCUGGCCUGGAAGAAGCCCCAGGAUCACAGAAACAAGGUGGUGCCAAUUAAGCAGUGGAAAGCAGAGACCCAGACAACCUGGGCAGCGGUGCUUCCUGCUUGUCAUCUGUCUUGAUGCCAUUUUCAACUGCCAUGUCUUAACUUUAUGGGGAGGAAAGUGAGGGUCCCUGGUAAAAGAGUUUCAGAUGGAUAGGAGGAGUGGGCUAGGAGAUCUACUGCAGAGGAGGCUGUGGAGACAGCAGCCAGGUAUAAUGUCUGGUAUGUUUCCAAGUAAGCGUCCAUUUCCCAUUUCUCCUUGCACUUGCACUGGAGAUCUUUGAGAAGACACCUAGUCGUGGAUGGAGGUGGACUUCCUAGUAAUGGACAACUGGCCAGGUGUGCUUAAUCACUUUGUGAGGAAGCUGGAUAGCACACACUGUGGUAGGCCUGACCCAUUUGGUCCAGGUGCUUCUGUCAGGAACAAAGACGAGUCCAAAGUGCCACAGGCUUCUCUGACACCUGGAGCCACCAGGAGUCCAGAAGAGCCUGUGAUACUUCCCUCUUCUGCCCCAUCCAGGGUCCUUCUGUCUGGAGAGCAAAGCCGAAGUGCAUCACCUUCCAGCUCUUCGUCUAGUGGAGCAGGAGGGGUAAGGAGCGGGGAAGGUGCGCUGCACCCUGAGAGAAGAGACUGAGUGCACUGCUCCUGGAAGGCUGCGGGCCUCAGGGGCUGAGAUCCAGUGGAGGGAGGAGCAGGAGGAGGGUGGGGUGACUGAACCAACUUGUGUUCCUCUGUCCAAACCGCACGGCUCUGGCCAAACUUCGACUGCAGAGCACGCAGCGCGGAGCUCACUCCCACAGGCUGCCAGAGCCCAGCUUCUCGCCGACUGCUGCGUGGAGACUGCAGCUCUGCAUCUGGGUCUCCCUGGGCCUCCCGACAGGACCGCUCCCCUCUCAGGGACAGAGCGAAGAGCUUCUACGCUGCCUGGCCGGGCAGAGAACCUGCCGCAUCAUCUGCAAGCUUCAACCUGCGGAAACCCGGAAAGGUCGCUUCCUAAUUUCUUCCCGAGGAGCCAAGCCGUCGGGCCAGCCCUUCGCGAGGCCGGACGAGAACCGGGCCGGAAACGACUCCUGGCCCGGGGCCUGCGUUCAAAUGCUGGCUCUGGGUUUUACUCAAUCUCUCCGCGCCUCGCUUCCUCGUCCGCCGCCGCCUGCUCGCUCCUCGCCCCGAGGUACCAGGCGCCCAGGCGACUCGGGUCCCGACGCCGAGCCUUCUGCGCUGCGGCCCAUGCGCUGCCUGAGCCCGGACCGGCUCUCACGUCUGUCCAGAGACUCCUGGGCGCCUCCCACCCACCGAGGAGAGGCCGGAAACGGGCCCUUUGCUCGACUCCUGCUCCGCCCAGAGUGUUGGGGAAGCGGCAGCGACGCCUCAACACGGAGACCUCGCCACCAACGCGGGCU
rnacentral:lncRNA from 1 species